UACGGGGGGGGCAAGCGUUGUUCGGAAUUACUGGGCGUAAAGGGCUCGUAGGCGGCCAACUAAGUCAGACGUGAAAUCCCUCGGCUUAACCGGGGAACUGCAUCUGAUACUGGAUGGCUUGAGUUCGGGAGAGGGAUGCAGAAUUCCAGGUGUAGCGGUGAAAUGCGUAGAUAUCUGGAGGAAUACCGGUGGCGAAGGCGGCAUCCUGGACCGACAUUGACGCUGAUGAGCGAAAGCUAGGGGAGCAAACGGG
rnacentral:rRNA from 1 species